CAGUCGCCGCGGGAAAACGUAGGGCGCAAGCGUUAUCCGGAAUUAUUGGGCGUAAAGAGCUCGUAGGCGGUUUGUCGCGUCUGCCGUGAAAGUCCGGGGCUCAACCCCGGAUCUGCGGUGGGUACGGGCAGACUAGAGUGAUGUAGGGGAGACUGGAAUUCCUGGUGUAGCGGUGAAAUGCGCAGAUAUCAGGAGGAACACCGAUGGCGAAGGCAGGUCUCUGGGCAUUAACUGACGCUGAGGAGCGAAAGCAUGGGGAGCGAACAGGAUUAGAUACCCCUGUAGUCCCUGUCUCUUAUAA
rnacentral:rRNA from 1 species